rnacentral:tRNA from 1 species
GCUCUUGUAACUCAGUUGGUAGAGUAGUUGAUUGUUAAUCAACUUGUCACAGGUUCGAAUCCUGUUGAGGGCGCCA